AUUGAACGCUGGCGGCAUGCUUUACACAUGCAAGUCGAACGGCAGCACGGGGGCAACCCUGGUGGCGAGUGGCGAACGGGUGAGUAAUGCAUCGGAACAUGCCCAGUCGUGGGGGAUAACGUAGCGAAAGUUACGCUAAUACCGCAUACGUCCUGAGGGAGAAAGCGGGGGAUCGCAAGACCUCGCGCGAUUGGAGUGGCCGAUGUCAGAUUAGCUAGUUGGUGGGGUAAAGGCCCACCAAGGCGACGAUCUGUAGCGGGUCUGAGAGGAUGAUCCGCCACACUGGGACUGAGACACGGCCCAGACUCCUACGGGAGGCAGCAAUGGGGAAUUUUGGACAAUGGGGGCAACCCUGAUCCAGCCAUGCCGCGUGCGGGAAGAAGGCCUUCGGGUUGUAAACCGCUUUCAGCCGGAAAGAAAUCGCUAUUCCUAAUACGAGUGGUGGAUGACGGUACCGGAAGAAGAAGCACCGGCUAACUACGUGCCAGCAGCCGCCGUAAUAC
rnacentral:rRNA from 1 species